AUGUCGGAAGCUUCAACUCUCAAAUUUAGUCUAUCACUGGCACGGAGGACGGGAUGUAAUCGCCUUAUUAUUAACUCAAACAAUCUGAAGGUGGUUGAAACCAUGCAAAACGGAAGACGGUCGACGAGCGCGACGGCGGCAAUCUUCGUUAAUUGUUUUCAUUAUGCCUGUGAUUUCAUUGUUAUUAGAUUCGGACAUUGUAAUAGAGGAACAAAUAAAGUAGCUCAUGAGUUCGGUAGAUUAGCUAGAUUUUAUGUGACCUCAGAUUUUCUUUUCAAGGAUACAUCAUGGAGAGGUGCAUCAAUAGCAUAG
rnacentral:rRNA from 1 species